rnacentral:lncRNA from 1 species
GCUUUCUAUAGAACCACUAUUACACAGAAGGACCCUGCACCAUGCACAAAUCACCUGGAAGGAUGGCACAACAAACAUAAGAAGCGACUCAAACACGCUCACCCAAACAUCUACGAGAUCAUUGAGCUACUGAAGAAGACAAAGGCACUAUCAUAAUGCAACAUUAUCUAGUAUGCAGCAGGAGGAACCCGCCCACCUUAAAGACGACCAUACAGAGUAAUAGACACC